rnacentral:lncRNA from 1 species
AACGAUUAAAAACAAAAUGAGAUAAGAAAGAGAUAAUUCUAACACUUUCAUUCUUUCUCCUCAGAUCUGAGAGCUCUCUACACUCACUAAUCUCUUCCCAUACCACUGCUGGUGUUCAUCAUGAACACCAACACCUCCUUCAAUUCAGCCCAUCCUCCACCAUACUCCCCAGUUCUCCAGUUGAAGUUCAACUAGGACCAUCAUCCUGAACCUAGACUAGGUUGAGCUUCAUCUUCAACCUUGAGUCUCUUCCACUUGAAACCUAGCUUCACCAGAGACGGGUGGUGGCCCAUGGCGGCACCACCUUCUUCUCCGGCUAACCCUACCUAAAAACUACCAUGAUUCAAAAACUCUAAACACUAACCUCCAUUUAAACACUCUCCUAGUCUCAAAUCCGGCCUUAGUUUCUGCAAACUCCUCUCCACAUGUCUAGAUAGGAUACCUCAGUAACCCAAACCCUAACCUAUUCUAAAACUUAUCAAAAUCGCAAACCUCCCAUGCAAAACCUCUUCACCUUAAGCCCCAUAAUCACAAAACCUAAGCUGAAACCUCCAACAACCCCAAAACAAGUCCAGAUCGGGACAAAAAUGAAGAAAUCAAAAUGCUUCAAAUAAAACUCCAAGCAAUCAAAAUAAACUAAAGCAAGCAGGAAGACUUCAAACAACAAAUCAAAGCAAAGAGAAGUAUCAUCAAUAAUUUAAAACAAGCUCACAAGGAGUUCAAAGUUGUACCUAUCAGAGUCUCUUCGAUGGAACUUCUAAAAAGGUGAUUGUGUCUUAACUUCCCUUUUCUGCUUUAGUUCAACCCUCCUCUCCUCCUUAUUUUCUUAUGUUGUUGUGUGUUGUACUGAUUUGUGUAUGUUGUUGUGUUAUGAUGUUGUGUUAUGCUAUUGUUAAUUAGGGAUGUGUUAGGUUUAGCUCAAUUACUGUAGAAUUUCAAUGAGAAAUUCUAAGUAAUUUUUAGGGUUAUAGCUCUUAGUAAGGAAUUAAUAAUGAGGAAAUAAGGUGAAUUAACUCAACAGAAAAAUGAUGCCCUAAAAAUCACGUAGAUUAAUUCAUAUAGGAAAUAAUUUAUAAGGGAAUCAGGCUUGAAUAAAUUUCUGCAGAGUGACUCUAAUGGUUCUCUGUGUGUGCUUGAAUGAAUAAUUUCUUGAUUUAUAUAGGGAAUUUUGGCAUGUAUUAAAUCCUUGGAAGUAUGUGAAUGAAAUUUUGUUACACUUGAUUCAUUUUGAUGUGAAGUUGUUGCUAAAAAUGGGAUUGAAAUGGGUGUCAAUUUGUGUGUGUGAGAACUUUCCUUGUGGUCCCCCCUUGAUUUCUCAAUAAAAUAAAAAUUCUAUGUUUUUGUUUUAUAUACACAUGUGAAAAUAGCUUGGAUUAGCUUGGCUGAGCAACAACUCACAUGGAGGAGACUUGAAGAAAAUGGCUUGCUUGCUUGAGGUAGCUCACAAGGAAGAAGAUUGAAGAAAAUGACUUACUUGAAGGUGUGACAAGCUGGUAGUGCUUCAUUCAGGGUCGGCCCUGUGUAACUGCAGCAUGUGCUGCAGCACAGGGUCCCAAAUUUUGAAUUUUGAAUUUUUUUUUCUUCAUAAAUAUUAAUAAAAAUAAAUAAAAUGUUAUUAAAAAAAUUCAAUAAUUGCAAGAAAUGUUAUGAUAAAAACUCAAUACAUACAAAAAUUAAGAUUGACCAAAACUCAAAAUAAUUAUAAUUAAAUAUAUUUUUAAUUAAUACAUAAUUGUAUUUUUGAUUUUUUUUUAUAAAAUUUGGACCCAUUUUUGAAAUUAGAACGGGGCAUCCGAUAUGAUUGGACCGGAUCUGGCUUCAUUAUAUAUUAUUUUUGCCAAUUCUUGUAUUUGUUAAGAAUAAUGAAAACAUGUACUGACUGGGCAACUUUGAUGUAUAGAAUACUUAAUAUAAGUUCUAUGUUAUUCUAUUUUUUUUCUUCAAGUUUUGUACCAAAGUUAGACAUUAUACCUCUUGAAUAGUUAUGGAAUACUUAGGGUUAAUGUAUGAAAUAUUAUUUCUCUCUAAUUAAAUAACAACCAUGAACCAAGUAAAAACAAAUGUCAAAUGAGUGACACAAAUGACUCAUGAAGUGAACAUUAAAUAAUGAGAAACAAAACAAAAUUGUGCAAAAAUGGAAAUGCAAAUGACAAAUGAUAUUUGGGUAAUGUGCUAAAGAAUUACCUUUGCAUGAUGUAGAAAAGUCUAUAACCAAUUAAACAAAGUCAACAAGUCAAAAUUAUGCAGAUGAAUGGUUUUCUAGAACUGAUGAAAGUACAUGACCAAAUGAAAUGGUCAUGUUAAUGCAGAUGAAUUGAGAAAUACAAUGCAAAUUAAAGGUAGGACAAAUUUUGGGUAUGAGACUCUACAUUUGUCAUUUGAGUCUCAGGCACUAAUUCUUCCUUCUCUACAGAUUGGCCAUUCACUUAGAUAUUGCUUAGUUCUCUUGGAUUGAUAUUUGGUUUGACAACUUGUUGUUUCUCAACUACUACAAAUUUUGCUUUAUUUGUUUGGUCAUUUCUAGUUGUGGUUUCCACUUGUCUGUAUACCUUUUUAGUCUCCAUAUUUUUCUUAUCAUUUUCAAGUUGUGGGUCAUCAUCCAACUUCCUUCUUUUUCACGUUUCAAAACUAUGUCAUAUGUUAUUACACACUGGAAAGGAAUCGGGAAAAAUUUAUACUCAAGUCCUACAAAUAGCGCAUAACCUUGUCUUUCUACUAAAACCUUAUAUCUUAACUCCUUAGUUAGGUCAAGGUCCACUAGAACUCUCACAUAGUGGCCAAAUGGUCUAUCAAAAUAACUUGUGAUUGUUGUAAAUUAUAUGCAUAAAGGAGUUCUGAUGUUGCUUGCGAUGGAAAAAACUAUUCUUGGCAUCUAAUGUUCCUGGGAUAAGCCAUGUAUUCUCAUCCAAACGUGAGCAGAGGUUUGCUUCAACUGACUAGGAUUAAAAUCCUUACUCCACGGAAAGAGUUUGAGGAAACGGGGGUUGUUGUUCUAAUAUUUUAUCGAUCUAACUCUUCUAACAUCCUUUAUAUAAGAAAAUGCAAACUCAAAGUAGUCUUUUCCUAGAGAGGUGAUUCCCCAUUUCCAAUAGAUUUCUAGAGAUUCGCGAGCUUACUUUUGAGGGCAAAAACUGUUAAAGGUGAAGAUUCUUUUGGCCAAAUCACACGUCCAUGUAGGUUUUGCUUACAUGAUUCUACUUACAGAAUAUAUUACUCAUUCAGUAUAACAAUUACUAGCAUAUGGGCUUGUUUGUUUCAACUUUAAAAAAUGGACUUUUUUUCUUCGUAUUUUAAAAAAUGGAUUUUAUAAAAUUGUUUUUCAAAAUAUUACAAGUUAUUUUAGAUUUGUUUUUUCUAAAUUGAAGUACUAAUUUUGACAUCCUAUAACAUAAACAUACAUUAUUGUAGAUCAAAAUAUAGUCGAAAUUGCAAUUUUUUCAAAAAAUUGCAUCUCAAAAAUGUUUUUCAUGAAAAAAAAGCCUCAAAAUUAAGUGAUUUUUUUUUUAAUUUUGAUCUAAAAAAAGUUUUAAUAAAAUGAUGAAAUAUAUAGAAUAACAUUUUAAGAAUAAUUAUUCAAACCAAAAUUUCAUUUAAAGCUUUUAUGAAAAUUUUCUAUAUAAUUUUUUUCUUCACAAAAUUAUGUUACACUAUAAAAAUAAUUAUUUAAAAAAGCCAAAACUAAUGGACCUUGUAUCCUUUGACACACGGUGUUGGGAGUUGACUGAGAGCUAUAUUGCAAACGUUGUUUAUUGCCUCUACAAACAUUUUCUAUUGUUUUAAGGGAGCAUCUGAAGACUUUGGAGAUGGUUGAGUUGGGGAUGUAUUGUUGUGCUAUUUAUAUAUGCAAGUUUACACAGUCCAACAGUAGCAAGUGAUGUAAAAGUAAGACUAUCAAUCACACAAAAAUUAUAUUAAUUUAAAUUGAUUCUC